rnacentral:rRNA from 1 species
GAUGAACGCUGGCGGCGUGCCUAAUACAUGCAAGUCGAGCGAACAGAUGAGGAGCUUGCUCCUCUGACGUUAGCGGCGGACGGGUGAGUAACACGUGGAUAACCUACCUAUAAGACUGGGAUAACUUCGGGAAACCGGAGCUAAUACCGGAUAAUAUAUUGAACCGCAUGGUUCAAUAGUGAAAUACGGUUUUGCUGUCACUUAUAGAUGGAUCUGCGCCGCAUUAGCUAGUUGGUAAGGUAACGGCUUAUCAAGGCAACGAUGCGUAGCCGACCUGAGAGGGUGAUCGGCCACAUUGGAGCUGAGACACGGUCCAGGCUCCUACGGGAGGCAGCAGUAGGGAAUCUUCCGCAAUGGGCGAAAGCCUGACGGAGCAACGCCGCGUGAGUGAUGAAGGUCUUCGGAUCGUAAAACUCUGUUAUUAGGGAAGAACAAAUGUGUAAGUAACUAUGCACGUCUUGACGGUACCUAAUCAGAAAGCCACGGCUAACUACGUG